GUGACAGAGCUUAGAAGGAAAGGGAAACCAUCUAUGCUUUUGUCUUAACUCUCAAAUGCCAGCUCUGCAGAAAGUGACAACUUCUCUGUAAGACCCUUCCUACUUGUGGUCCUUUGGACAUCCUUGAAGGUAUGUCUAAAUGAGCAUGGAACUGUAUGUUUAUUAGAAAAAAGCCUAGGAUGGAUGGGCAUUUAUGUAUCUUGCUUUUAAUAAGCUUGAUGACAUUUGGUUAUAGCUAAAUAAGCAUUAAAAACCCAUCCAAGAGCCAGAUGAGAGUGAAAAUAGUAAUUGGGAGUUACUUUGUGUCAUAACAGGUCUUCCUAAAUGGGGAUCUUUCCUUAGCUAUUCUAUUCUAAAACUGAAUCUACCUCUAUAACACCAAUUACUGAAUUACUUAUCACCUCUUUAUUUGUAUGACUGAUUCACCAAAUGGGGUUUUCAUCUCUUAUGGCCUGAUGGUUCAUUUUUUGGUGACACAAGCACCUUAUGAGUUGUCAGGCACAGGGUAGGCUUUCAAUAAACUUUUACUGAGAAUAGAUAAAUAACUAGAUUUUAUAGAGUGAUUUUGUAAACAGUCUGGGUCAACUAAGCAGAAAAAAAUGAUGCAAAAAAUGAUACAAAAAAAAGAAACGUAAUUUUUAAUUUGAUCCAGGCAAUCCAGUCAGUUUUGAAAAUGCACAAGGGAUAAGGGUUCUGAUGCAUGGUGCUAAUAUUGAAAUGUGCAGAGCUAUGGAGCAGCUAGCUAUAAUUUCAGAGCUGUAUAACAGAGUAGGAAGCAGCUUCCAAAUAAAAUCAAUAUGAAGGAGUACCAAAGAGUUACUUCCCAGUUUCCAGCUGAAUUAUCUUUUUUAUUAAAAGUGGUGUUUCUUUAUUUUUUCCUCUUAGGAGAUGACUUCUUGGGAACCCUUUUGAGAAUGAAUGACAUCAGCAAAUCCCUAAACAAGACUCUUCAUACAGAGCAUUUCAUCUACCUAUUGUCCAAGGGCUGCCCUCUGAAGGUGAUGGCCACAAAGAUGAGGUGGAUUUGUUACUCUGGAUACCAUUGCUUCUACCACCAGCUUCUCCAAAUCUACGACAGUCUUCCUCAGGCAUGGAAACUCUUCUCUUUCCUGUGUUGCAGUGGAUACCUCCUGCAGAUAAGAAAUGCUUAA
rnacentral:lncRNA from 1 species